UGCUCACCAACAUGAUUAUCACUAAUCACUUUAAGGUUUCAGGUACAGGACAGUAGCGAGCAAUGCUAGUAAUCAUCCAGGGAAGAAUAAAAAACUGGUUACAACUAGGACAAAAUGCAACAAGAACGUUGGGUGGUAGCUUCCAUCGAAAUUUACAUUUAUGUAAAGAGCAUAGCUGCUCAAGGCUGCAUAUUUCAACUAAAGGUUACAUUACAAUCAGAAACAAGGAAUUUCUCAGGAUCAUGAUUCUAUUACAAAAUUGAUCAAACAAGUAAUUCUCUCAUAGUGAUCUUUUGAAAUGGGAAGGGGCCAGGGAAAAAAAUAAAAAUAAAAACUGCCUUCAUCAAGUAAGAGCUCAGAUCAUGUAAAAUGCAGACAUGCUGAAGAUUGUUGGGUUGGUUUCCUCUUUGACAAUGGUGAUUCCGUAGAGGGCACUCUACACAGUUCCAGGCACCAUACAUCACAAAUACCAUUUCAACAAUCUUGGACAUCUUCAUUAAGAUCAACAGAAAAACCAGCAAUCUUUGACUGAUCCUCAGCUGAGCUACAUAAGGUAGGUGGCACUCCAGGCUGGGGCGGGGAGCUUGUGCUGCUCCUGGUUGAUUGUCCAUUUGCGGACUGUAUCUUCACAUGAUGGUUCAAAUACACCUCCAAACUAGAAGAAGCAGGUCCUGUAUUUUUCCUGCCCUUAAAUCUUCCCCUAUCUUUUUUCUUCUCGAGAUAUCUCUGCAAUAACACUUUUCGGUUUGCUUGACCCUCUACAUCUUUAAAAGAGCAAACAGCGUUAAAAGGAUGUGCAAACAACUGACAAUCUUGACAUUGUCCUUUCAGUAGCUAAAGUAAGAUUCUGCUCAGGGCACUUUUCACUGCUGAAUCACAAGUAAAUUGUAUGCAUGAUAAAUGUACUGGAAAAGUAAUCUCUUGCUCAAACAUGUAGAAGCAGAGUAGCUGUGGCACGGGCGUGUGGCAAAAAGAGUGCCAGUAAAAGAAAAAGGUUAUUUUAUUUUGAAAACGUGAAGCAGGAGAGAGAAUUGAUGAUGAUGAAAUAGUGCUAAUCGCAGUAGUUCUUGAGAAGAUAGUUACAGUUGCACCUAUUACUGUUGGUGUUAGGUGCUGAUGUAAAUAGUGCUAAUCCCAGUGCAUGCAAAGAAGAGGAUGACAGUAAAUUAAGCAUGAAUUGAAAGGGAUUGAUGGUUGAACCAAACACUUUCAUACAAAAAAGGAUAUUGGCACUGACAAUGCCAACAUGGAUGCACUGUUGGUGGGGGCAAUGGCUUGUAAUUCAUUGGCAGCAAUACAAGUGCAGUGAGUAGCACUUUACAAUACAAAUAAUUUGUCUCCAUGAAAAUGCCGCCCUUCAUCUUGUUAUGCCAAUAUCAAACAAUAAAAAAAACAAUUAAAAUUGCUUGAUUCCAAUGAUUUGUUCAAUUAAAAUUGCUCAAUACCAAUGAUUUGUUCAAUCACAUUGCUAGGGGAUGAUAUAGUUUUCAGCAAGAUGAGGCCAAUGUAAUGCAGAAUAAGUGUGAGAACAAUACUUUCAUUUAAAGUUUUCUUUUUACUUAAUAUUCUAUUGAAUUUAAUAAUAGGAAAAUCCUCUUUCUUCUUUUUGAAGAUAUAAGGUAAAAAGAAAAAAUAUUCAAAGUGUCUUUCUUGUUUUCACCUGUGAAAUACUCUGGUUUUUUUAAUAAAAAGGAAGAAAAUAUAACCAAAAAAUGGCAAAAGGGAAUUAUAAGAAAGAUGGAGAGAAAAAAUAAAGUAGAAAAUAAUAAAAUGUAGGAUACUAUAGCAGUUUAAUGUACAUAGAAAGUAGAAAAAUACGUAAAAAUAUUAAAUUUUAAAAAUCUCAUAAACAAGAUCCAAAAAUACAAUUUGUUCCAUAGAAUGAGAGAAGUAUGAGGAUAUACACUCGAACUACUAUUUUGGUCAUAUUUCUCUUUAUCGAGAAAUCGAAAAGCCUCCUCAAAUGAUAUCUAAUCAUACAGAUCUAAGAGUAACAACGCUCAGAACAAAAGCCCAGUAUCCAGCCUAUCCUAUAAGCCAUAUCUAGAGAGAAACCCAUCUGAUCAAAUGUCUUGAGUCUUUAAGCAUUAAGAUAUUUAGGAACUUAAAGCACCAAUAUUUCUUAGUAUUUGUCAAAAUAAGUACAUUAUUGAAAUGUGAAUAUUCCCAGCCACAACAGUUCUAAAAUUUCAACAAAGAUACUCAUCCUGAUCAAAGAGAACUAUGACAAUGUUUUCCAACAUGUAGAAAAAUCUACAGAACAAGAAGCUAAGGGAGAGUCUUUAGUUCUUUACCAGGAUCAUGAGAUAUGCUAGCUUUCUCCCUACACAGAUGAGAAUAUUCUAUCUUCUCUCUAAAGUCAAUGCAUAGACCAUUUACUUCAGUAUCACUAUAUGAAAGCAAUUUCUUACGAGCUUAUGUUUUCAAAAUUGUAUUUUUGAAUUAGUUAAUACUAGAUCUCAUAUGAGUUCACUCUUUUUGUCACUCUAGCCAAAUGGUUCAUUUAUGUAUAGCUUUUGAAUUGAAGAUCUCGAGAAGUAAUUUAUAAUAUUUUGAAACUUUGGAAUAUCAUCACAUUUCCUUGUAACAACAGUAAUCACUGAUUUUAAAAUUUCAUUUUCUUGUGUUAAGGAAAUAUGCUGCUGUAUGUUUCCAUUUACAAAACACAUCUCUAGGUUGAGCCACAUCCAUCGUAGCUCAAGUAAUUCUCAGAAACACAAUCUCAGUGCCCAAAAUUACAAGGUUUAAAGGGCAAAUGGUAAAUGCUUCCAUAUUAAAAUUCUACCUGUUUGAUUGGCCUGAGAGAUUGCAGCAUUAGGAGGAA
rnacentral:misc_RNA from 1 species